AUGAACGCUAGCGGCAGGCUUAACACAUGCAAGUCGAGGGGUAUGGUUCUUCGGAACCAGAGACCGGCGCACGGGUGCGUAACGCGUAUGCAAUCUGCCUUUUACAGAGGGAUAGCCCAGAGAAAUUUGGAUUAAUACCUCAUAGUAUAAUUGAAUGGCAUCAUUUAAUUAUUAAAGUCACAACGGUAAAAGAUGAGCAUGCGUCCCAUUAGCUAGUUGGUAAGGUAACGGCUUACCAAGGCGACGAUGGGUAGGGGUCCUGAGAGGGAGAUCCCCCACACUGGUACUGAGACACGGACCAGACUCCUACGGGAGGCAGCAGUGAGGAAUAUUGGACAAUGGGCGCAAGCCUGAUCCAGCCAUGCCGCGUGCAGGAUGACGGUCCUAUGGAUUGUAAACUGCUUUUAUACGAGAAAAAACACUGAUUCGUGAAUCAGCUUGACGGUAUCGUAAGAAUAAGGAUCGGCUAACUCCGUGCCAGCAGCCGCGGUAAUACGGAGGAUCCAAGCGUUAUCCGGAAUCAUUGGGUUUAAAGGGUCCGUAGGCGGUUUAGUAAGUCAGUGGUGAAAGCCCAUCGCUCAACGGUGGAACGGCCAUUGAUACUGCUGAACUUGAAUUAUUAGGAAGUAACUAGAAUAUGUAGUGUAGCGGUGAAAUGCUUAGAGAUUACAUGGAAUACCAAUUGCGAAGGCAGGUUACUACUAAUGGAUUGACGCUGAUGGACGAAAGCGUGGGUAGCG
rnacentral:rRNA from 1 species